rnacentral:rRNA from 1 species
AUUGAACGCUGGCGGCAUGCCUUACACAUGCAAGUCGAACGGCAGCACGGGAGCAAUCCUGGUGGCGAGUGGCGAACGGGUGAGUAAUAUAUCGGAACGUGCCCAGUCGUGGGGGAUAACGUAGCGAAAGCUACGCUAAUACCGCAUACGAUCUAUGGAUGAAAGCGGGGGAUCCCAAGACCUCGCGCGAUUGGAGCGGCCGAUAUCAGAUUAGGUAGUUGGUGAGGUAAAGGCUCACCAGGCCGACGAUCUGUAGCUGGUCUGAGAGGACGACCAGCCACACUGGGACUGAGACACGGCCCAGACUCCUACGGGAGGCAGCAGUGGGGAAUUUUGGACAAUGGGCGCAAGCCUGAUCCAGCAAUGCCGCGUGCAGGAUGAAGGCCUUCGGGUUGUAAACUGCUUUUGUACGGAACGAAACGGUGAGCUCUAAUACAGUUUGCUAAUGACGGUACCGUAAGAAUAAGCACCGGCUAACUACGUGCCAGCAGCCGCAGUAA